rnacentral:rRNA from 1 species
UACAGAGGGUGCGAGCGUUAAUCGGAAUUACUGGGCGUAAAGCGUGCGUAGACGGUUAUUUAAGUUGGGUGUGAAAGCCCCGGGCUCAACCUGGGAAUUGCAUUCGAGACUGAAUAGCUAGGGUACGGUAGAGGGUAGUGGAAUUCCCGGUGUAGUGGUGAAAUGCGUAGAUAUCGGGAGGAACACCAGUGGCGAAGGCGACUACCUGGCCUGUUCUUGACGCUGAGGCGCGAAAGCUAGGGGAGCAAACGGG